CUCGUAAUCGGAAUGAGUACACUUUAAAUAUUUUAACGAGGAACAAUUGGAGGGCAAGUCUGGUGCCAGCAGCCGCGGUAAUUCCAGCUCCAAUAGCGUAUACUAAAAUUGUUGCGGUUAAAAAGCUCGUAGUUGCAUUUGUGCGCCGCGCUGUCGGUGCACCGCAUCUGCGGUGAUACUGACACGUCUGCGGAGCAUAUCGUCGGUGAAUCUCCGGUCAAACGGAGGUUCAAUAUCAAAAAUCCUAUCGCGGUGCUCUUCAGUGAGUGUCGAGAUGGGCCGACAAUUUUACUUUGAACAAAUUAGAGUGCUUAAAGCGGGCUCAAAAUGCUGCUUGAAUAUUUAGUGCAUGGAAUAAUAGAAUAUGAUCUCGGUUCUAUUUUGUUGGUUUUCAGAACUCCGAGGUAAUGAUUAAUAGGGAUAACUGGGGGCAUUCGUAUUGCGACGUUAGAGGUGAAAUUCUUGGAUCGUCGCAAGACGAACAUCAGCGAAAGCAUUUGCCAAAGGUGUUUUCAUCAAUCAAGAACGAAAGUUAGAGGUUCGAAGGCGAUUAGAUACCGCCCUAGUUCUAACCGUAAAUAUGUCGUCUAGCGAUCCGCCGACGUUACUACAAUGGCUCGGCGGGCAGCUUCCGGGAAACCAAAGAUUUUGGACUCCGGGGGGAGUAUGGUUGCAAAGCUGAAACUUAAAGGAA
rnacentral:rRNA from 1 species